rnacentral:rRNA from 1 species
UGCAGAAUCCCGUGAACCAUCGAGUCUUUGAACGCAAGUUGCGCCCGAGGGACCAUCCCGAGGGCACGCCUGCCUCAUGGGCGUUAGAAGCCAAUCCACGCUCGGUGCAGCUGGCUUCCAGCUUUGGGCUGAUGCGGACAAUGGCCCUCCGAGCCGCGAGGCGCGACGGGCAGAAGUGUAUGGCCGUCGGUUGAGGCCGGGAGCGGCGAGUGGUGGGCUACUGCGCACGCUGCCUCCGAACCUCAUGCCGAUGUACGGCCUAUUUUGACCCCGAAACGAGGAGUUUGUCGUUGUGUGCGGCAGCCUCGGACCGAUACCCCAGGUCAGGCGUGACCACCCGCUGAGUUUAAGCAUAUAAAUAAGCGGAGGAGAAGAAACUUACGAGGAUUCCCCUAGUAACGGCGAGCGAACCGGGAGCAGCCCAGCCUUAGAAUCGCGGCAGCUUUGCUGUCCGA